rnacentral:lncRNA from 1 species
AUCUUUCUCGGGAAGAGAACAAAACAACAUUAAAAUCUCCUGUUGCUCGUCAGUGAGGAAAUGGCAUUCUCCGCAGGAGGAGCGGGAAGCCUGCCAUGUGGACAACCCUACCCACAGAGCCAACCAAAGCAGCCCCCAGGCUCCCAUACGACAUGAUACGGAGGAAAUUUUGGAGAAGCAUCAAAAAAAGCCUGCCCACAUAGUGCACCUGGCACAUCUUUGAUGGGUCUGAAGCCCUAAAAGGAAGUCUCUGUGUUCUAGUAUCACCAAAGCCUCCACAAAGGAGAUGAAAAGGAGGAAUAAAACAUCUGAACAGCCCUAUCUGGCCUGAACUGCACACAUUCGUUACAGAAAAGAUGGAUUUCUUCUGGAUCCUCCUGCGUAUCCUCCUGCUUCAGGAUGGCAGCGAGCACCUCAACACUCCAAUUACAGGAUAUUCAUGUUAAAUAGAGAAGAGGGACAGCCAGUCGGCAACAAACAUUAAGGGUAUGGCAGCACAUCUGUGCACAUGCAGAAGGACCGACUGGAGUGACCCUCACGGCUCUACUCCCCACAAGUCUUCAGCACAGGCAUACAUCAGCUCCUAGCAGGCAGCCUCACCAGGGCUUAAAUCUCCCCAGCUGCUACAAAAAGGGACUGGAGGCCCCAGGUAAAAGAAUGCCUUGGCAUGAAAACCUGUCCUGAAUGCACAGCCUGCUUGACAGAUAUAUACAAAGGCUUGAAACCCGAGAGGAGAAGCGGAUGGUUGCAAGCAAAAAAAAUCUAAACAAAAGAAUGGAAUUAAAGCCAGCACCAGGGCACGUAUUAAUACUGCGCGGCUGUCAUUGCUCACACUGAUUCCUAGGAGCGAUGCAGAGCAUUGUGCUCAGCAGGAUAAGACUGACAGACCUCGAAUAUGAACCCCCACUGCCUUCUAAAGAGGAAGGGCUGUCCUUCUUAUCUUCGGAUUGAUCCUGACCACUUUACUGCAAGAAGCUGCUGCUUGAAUUUCAGAUGUUGAGUGCUGGUAUCUGCGAUUGGCCAUGCACGGAAUUCCCGUGGCUGAUGUGUUUUGCUCAGGAGCUCACACCAGAAGAGGUAGGCACAAGGCAAGGACACAGCAUCCUGUGGCAGGCACCAGUGGGGCACUGCUGGGCUCUGCAGCUCCAUUUGCCCCUCAGCCAAGGUGAUAUUUAGCUGCUCCCAGUGGGGCUGGAAAGUCUGAAGAUGUCUGAGGAAUGGAAGAGUGGCAAACAAUGAUAUUGCUGGUGAUAAAGCAAUCCUGGAAAAUGUUUGGAUGAAUUUUUUUCAGGAGAUUUGCUUCACCCUGCCUCUGCUCUCUGCUGAUGUUACCCUCUGUAACAAAGAGAUCACCAGCAGGAAGAUGUGCAGGUAGGAGGACCGCUAGGUGGAUAUUCCUAAACAUCCAGCACACCAGCAGGCACAGGUCAGGAACAUAUUGCAUUAGCUCUGGGCCUGAGCAGAGUUAGUCAAAAUAGCUUGAAAAAUGGAACACAUUUCUUAGUGGAGGAGUCUCAGACCUAGCACGGAUGUCAUGAAUAGCUGAAAUGAUGUCUAAAUUUGAGAAGAAAGAAAAAAAAAAAAAACUUCCUCUGAAGUGUGUCUUGCAACUGCAAAUGAGGCAUAACUUGGAGAAUCUAUCAACUACGAUGAGCUGCUAUUAGCAUUUCAGUUACAUUUCCCUUGAAAAGUCAGGAAGGGCUGUGGCCCCAGAUCAUGGGUCUCUCCUGACAUGUAAAUAGGUGGCACCUAUGGAAAUGGAGAUGUCCCGGGUGUCAGCACCUCGAGGUGAAUGAUAGCUAGAGGUGGAAGAGUGGAGAAUAAAUGUUACUGCAAGAAAAGUUGCUGAAUUUCC